GCUGCAGAUUUCUUGCCUGCAGCCUUUGCAAGUGCUCUCUUUCUUCCUUAUAUAAAAUUCUGCAGGGUGUAUUUGAUUUAUGUCUGUGCAAUUUCUCAUUCUACUUUUAUGUGAAGACAACCAAAAAACAAACACGAGUCCUGCACAUCCAGUAUAGGUGUGCACACCCAGGUGCUACCACAAUUUAUUUGAGGACAAAGUU